UGGGGAAUUUUGGACAAUGGGCGAAAGCCUGAUCCAGCAAUGCCGCGUGUGUGAAGAAGGCCUUCGGGUUGUAAAGCACUUUUGUCCGGAAAGAAAUCCUUGGCUCUAAUACAGUCGGGGGAUGACGGUACCGGAAGAAUAAGCACCGGCUAACUACGUGCCAGCAGCCGCGGUAAUACGUAGGGUGCAAGCGUUAAUCGGAAUUACUGGGCGUAAAGCGUGCGCAGGCGGUUUGCUAAGACCGAUGUGAAAUCCCCGGGCUCAACCUGGGAACUGCAUUGGUGACUGGCAGGCUAGAGUAUGGCAGAGGGGGGUAGAAUUCCACGUGUAGCAGUGAAAUGCGUAGAGAUGUGGAGGAAUACCGAUGGCGAAGGCAGCCCCCUGGGCCAAUACUGACGCUCAUGCACGAAAGCGUGGGGAGCAAACAGGAUUAGAUACCCUAGUAGUCCACGCCCUAAACGAUGUCAACUAGUUGUUGGGGAUUCAUUUCCUUAGUAACGUAGCUAACGCGUGAAGUUGACCGCCUGGGGAGUACGGUCGCAAGAUUAAAACUUAAAGGAAUUGACGGGGUCAUAGCUGUUUCCU
rnacentral:rRNA from 1 species